rnacentral:rRNA from 1 species
GAUGAACGCUGGCGGCGUGCUUAACACAUGCAAGUCGAACGGAAAGGCCCAAGCUUGCUUGGGUACUCGAGUGGCGAACGGGUGAGUAACACGUGGGUGAUCUGCCCUGCACUUCGGGAUAAGCCUGGGAAACUGGGUCUAAUACCGGAUAGGACCACUUCUUGGAUGUUGUGGUGGAAAGUUUUUUCGGUGUGGGAUGAGCUCGCGGCCUAUCAGCUUGUUGGUGGGGUAAUGGCCUACCAAGGCGUCGACGGGUAGCCGGCCUGAGAGGGUGUACGGCCACAUUGGGACUGAGAUACAGCCCAGACUCCUACGGGAGGCAGCAGUGGGGAAUAUUGCACAAUGGGCGCAAGCCUGAUGCAGCGACGCCGCGUGGGGGAUGACGGCCUUCGGGUUGUAAACUCCUUUCGCUAGGGACGAAGCGUUUUGUGACGGUACCUGGAGAAGAAGCACCGGCUAACUACGUG